rnacentral:lncRNA from 1 species
UUCUGAACAUUUGCCACUUUGGCCCCUUCUGGAGAUAUCGUACGGCAUGAGAAUCUCCUGGGAAUGGCAUGGCUAUCCAAAUCCACAUCCGUGGGACGACAUGUUUAUUCUUUGUGACCCCCACGAUGUGACCACAAGCAAAGAGACAAAGGGAGUAGCUCAGCUGUCCAAACACGAGAAAUUAUUGCUUGCGUCAGAUCCACCGGCUCAGCCCC